UGAGGAAUUUUGGACAAUGGGCGCAAGCCUGAUCCAGCAAUGCCGCGUGCAGGAUGAAGGCCUUCGGGUUGUAAACUGCUUUUGUACGGAGCGAAAAGGUCUGCCCUAAUACGGUGGGCUCAUGACGGUACCGUAAGAAUAAGCACCGGCUAACUACGUGCCAGCAGCCGCGGUAAUACGUAGGGUGCGAGCGUUAAUCGGAAUUACUGGGCAUAAAGCGUGCGCAGGCGGUUAUAUAAGACAGAUGUGAAAUCCCCGGGCUCAACCUGGGACCUGCAUUCGUGACUGUAUAGCUAGAGUACGGUAGAGGGGGAUGGAAUUCCGCGUGUAGCAGUGAAAUGCGUAGAUAUGCGGAGGAACACCGAUGGCGAAGGCAAUCCCCUGGACCUGUACUGACGCUCAUGAACGAAAGCGUGGGGAGCAAACA
rnacentral:rRNA from 1 species